rnacentral:rRNA from 1 species
GAUGAACGCUGACAGAAUGCUUAACACAUGCAAGUCAACUUGAACUUCGGUUUGGGUGGCGGACGGGUGAGUAACGCGUACAGAACUUGCCUCACAGCUAGGGACAACAUUUGGAAACGAAUGCUAAUACCUGAUAUUAUGAUUUUAGGGCAUCCUAGAAUUAUGAAAGCUAUAUGCGCUGUGAGAGAGCUUUGCGUCCCAUUAGCUAGUUGGAGAGGUAACGGCUCACCAAGGCGAUGAUGGGUAGCCGGCCUGAGAGGGUGAACGGCCACAAGGGGACUGAGACACGGCCCUUACGCCUACGGGAGGCAGCAGUGGGGAAUAUUGGACAAUGGACCAAGAGUCUGAUCCAGCAAUUCUGUGUGCACGAUGAAGUUUUUCGGAAUGUAAAGUGCUUUCAGUUGGGAAGAAAAAAAUGACGGUACCAACAGAAGAAGUGACGGCUAAAUACGUG